AUUGAACGCUGGCGGCAGGCCUAACACAUGCAAGUCGAGCGGAUGAAGGGAGCUUGCUCCUGGAUUCAGCGGCGGACGGGUGAGUAAUGCCUAGGAAUCUGCCUGGUAGUGGGGGAUAACGUCCGGAAACGGGCGCUAAUACCGCAUACGUCCUGAGGGAGAAAGUGGGGGAUCUUCGGACCUCACGCUAUCAGAUGAGCCUAGGUCGGAUUAGCUAGUUGGUGGGGUAAAGGCCUACCAAGGCGACGAUCCGUAACUGGUCUGAGAGGAUGAUCAGUCACACUGGAACUGAGACACGGUCCAGACUCCUACGGGAGGCGGCAGUGGGGAAUAUUGGACAAAGGGCGAAAGCCUGAUCCAGCCAUGCCGCGUGUGUGAAGAAGGUCUUCGGAUUGUAAAGCACUUUAAGUUGGGAGGAAGGGCAGUAAGUUAAUACCUUGCUGUUUUGACGUUACCAACAGAAUAAGCACCGGCUAACUUCGUG
rnacentral:rRNA from 1 species